rnacentral:misc_RNA from 1 species
GAAAAACUUUCUGAGGAUUUUAUUUUCCAUGUAUUGCCUACCGAAAUGCAAGAAGCAAGCAGUUCCUAUGAAAGGCGUUGCAUUUUUCAUCUAGAUGCUCCAUCAGCAUCUAUUUGUCUGCUAAUACAACUAGAAAAACCUGCCACUGAAGAAGGUGGAGUGUCUCCUUCUGUUUAUUCACGAAAGGAACCAGUUCAUCUGACAGAGAGAGAGAAACAGAAACUACAAGUAUGGUCGCGGAUCAUGCCAUACAGGGAGUCCUUUUCCUGGGCCAUCAUUCCACUCUUUGAUAGUAACAUAGCUUCUGUGGGUGGCUCUGCUUCUCCCAGCAGUCCUCUUGCUCCCAGCGUCUCUGCGUCAAGUUCACAAGAGGGCAUCACUGAGCCACUUUCAAAAAUUACUGCAGAUGGAAAGCUUGGUUAUUCAAAUGGG